rnacentral:lncRNA from 1 species
GGCAGUGUGUGGGUCAAUGUGUGGGUCAAUGUGUGGGUCAGUGUGUGGGUCAAUGUGUGGGUCAGUGUGUGGGUCAAUGUGUGGGUCAAUGUGUGGGUCAAUGUGUGGGUCAGUGUGUGGGUCAAUGUGUGGGUCAAUGUGUGGGUCAAUGUGUGGGUCAUAUGUGGCUCAGUGUGUGGUCAAUAUGUGGCGUCAGUGGUGGUGUCAAAUAUGUAGGGUUCAGAU